CUCUGACGUUAGCGGCGGACGGGUGAGUAACACGUGGAUAACCUACCUAUAAGACUGGGAUAACUUCGGGAAACCGGAGCUAAUACCGGAUAAUAUAUUGAACCGCAUGGUUCAAUAGUGAAAGACGGUUUUGCUGUCACUUAUAGAUGGAUCCGCGCCGCAUUAGCUAGUUGGUAAGGUAACGGCUUACCAAGGCAACGAUGCGUAGCCGACCUGAGAGGGUGAUCGGCCACACUGGAACUGAGACACGGUCCAGACUCCUACGGGAGGCAGCAGUAGGGAAUCUUCCGCAAUGGGCGAAAGCCUGACGGAGCAACGCCGCGUGAGUGAUGAAGGUCUUCGGAUCGUAAAACUCUGUUAUUAGGGAAGAACAAAUGUGUAAGUAACUAUGCACGUCUUGACGGUACCUAAUCAGAAAGCCACGGCUAACUACGUGCCAGCAGCCGCGGUAAUACGUAGGUGGCAAGCGUUAUCCGGAAUUAUUGGGCGUAAAGCGCGCGUAGGCGGUUUUUUAAGUCUGAUGUGAAAGCCCACGGCUCAACCGUGGAGGGUCAUUGGAAACUGGAAAACUUGAGUGCAGAAGAGGAAAGUGGAAUUCCAUGUGUAGCGGUGAAAUGCGCAGAGAUAUGGAGGAACACCAGUGGCGAAGGCGACUUUCUGG
rnacentral:rRNA from 1 species